UCCGUCGUGAGACGGAAUCUGAAGGAAGCCGGAGGCAAAACCUCGGUCUGACGAACAGAAAUCACAUACAAGGCAUGGUGGGACGGACGAGCUUGCAUAUCAAAGCGAAGUCCAAUACUGCCCGAGUCACAUCAUGUAAAUGUGGCAGAUAGAUGAGGGGAAAGUUAUCGCU
rfam:Paenibacillus yonginensis strain DCY84 chromosome, complete genome.